UACGGGGGGGGGCAAGCGUUGUUCGGAAUUACUGGGCGUAAAGGGCUCGUAGGCGGCCAACUAAGUCGGAUGUGAAAUCCCCAGGCUUAACCUGGGAACUGCAUCCGAUACUGGAUGGCUUGAAUCCGGGAGAGGGAUGCAGAAUUCCAGGUGUAGCGGUGAAAUGCGUAGAUAUCAGGAGGAACACCAAUGGCGAAGGCAGAUCUCUGGGCCGUAACUGACGCUGAGGAGCGAAAGCGUGGGGAGCGAACAGG
rnacentral:rRNA from 1 species